rnacentral:rRNA from 1 species
UACGUAGGCAGCGAGCGUUGUUCGGAGUUACUGGGCGUAAAGGGUGUGUAGGCGGCUUUUUAAGUUUGGUGUGAAAUCUCCCGGCUUAACCGGGAGGGUGCGCCGAAUACUGAAAGGCUAGAGUGCGGGAGAGGAGAGUGGAAUUCCUGGUGUAGCGGUGAAAUGCGUAGAUAUCAGGAGGAACACCGGUGGUGUAGACGGCUCUCUGGACCGUAACUGACGCUGAGACACGAAAGCGUGGGUAGCAAACAGG